ACCAUUUAUUAAACGGGGAAUCCUUUCCCCCCGACUCUAUUCUUAAAUUCAAUAGAUAACUUAAACUUUGGAGAAAAUAUAUGAGGUGGGUUGAUCCUAAAGUUUUUAGUAAAAAAUGUGACUCCCAGAAACAAAGUCAAUCUUCCAUGCUACUGGUACAAAUGGAUCUCUUGUUUCGCUGUCUGGCCCUUGCCAUCUGUGCAUUGCUCCAAUCUCUUCCCCCCAUCUUCACAUACUCCCUAUUCUACGUCACGAUGUCUGCUCCUCUUUAUAUAUAGACACUAGUCAUUGGGUUUAAGGCCCACCCGAAUUCCAUGAUGAUAUCAUCUUAAUCCUUAACGAAUGACAUCUGCAGAUACAUUAUUUCCAAAACAAUUCAUAUUCUGAGGCUCUACGUGGACACGAAUUUUGGGGAACACUGUUCAACCCAUUAUAGGCAAAAGGAAAGGUAAAGAAGAUUCUUUUUACUGGUUUUAAUUAGAACAACAAAGAGAGGCAAAUUAGUAAAAUUGCAAUUACUAAUUACAAUUUUUUUUUAAGAUACAAGACAUGAGAAAGUAAGUACUUUGGAAAACAAAUACAAAUAUGCUCCCAGCAAGGGCUUACAUACUAUUUAUUAAUUUAUUAUUAUUAUUUUUUUUUUUUUUUUGAGAUAGAGUUUCACUCUUGUUGCCCAGGCUGGAGUUCAAUGACACAAUCUCGGCUCACUGCAACCUCAUGUGAUUCUCCUGCCUCAGCUUUCCAAGUAGCUGGAAUUACGGGUGCACCCCCAACCGUGACUGGCUAAUUUCUGUAUGUUUUAGUAGAGACAGGCUUCACUAUGUUAGCCAGGGUGGCCUCAAACUCCUGACCUCAGUUGAUCCACCCGCCUUGGCCUCCCAAAGUGCUGGGAUAAUAGGGUGAACCACUGCACCUGGCCCAUACUAUUUAUUAAAGGAGUUGAAAUAGAACUAAAAAUAGUUAGUGGCUACAUCAAUAGACUGACUUACAAACUGACUGACACAUUUGACUGCUAAUGAUCAAAUGAUUUUGCUUGGAUAACUGCAUUAGAAUUGUGCAGUUCAAAUUGUACCUGUAUACAACAGAAAGAAAAGUUGUAUGGAGACUGAGUUUUGUUGGUGGCAUUCUAGCAUUACGACACAGCAGUGGUGAAAUGUUGGCUAUUUACUCUGUCUGGGAAUUUGUUUCUUUAAUUACAAACCUGAAUUUAUAAUGAUGUCUUUGGAACUAUCAGAGAACGUGUGGGGGCAAAGGACAAAGAAGGGGACACAAUAAAUAUUCCUUUACCCUCUUUUCUUUCACUUCUUCAAGUACUAGUCUUUCUUCCAACAGAAAUGCAUUCAUACUUUUGAAGGGCACAAAGAUUUCUGCUGAUGUGUUAUAUCACACAAUGAUCAUCUUGAGUGUUUUGCAGGCAUCAUCAUAAUAAUGAUUUAUCCAAAAUAGUUCCAUAGAAAUCAUGCUAAUAGAUUUUCUAAGACAGAAAACAAUGUCCAAUACCUACUUGUUUUCCAAGUUACCAAACACUCAGCUUACUGAACAGUUCCUUUAUUUGACAAAUAUUUAUUGAACAGCUGAAACUCUUAGCACAGUACUUGGCAUAUAUUCACAUAUUUACCUUUCCUUCCACAAACAUGGAUCAUAUGAUUAUUAUGUGCCAAUACUGUGCUGGACCUGGGCCUUGCUCUCAUGGAGCCACACUUAGUCAAAGAAACAGUUAAUGAAAUAAUCAUGCAAAUGUAGCACUCUAUGGGCAUGACAAGGAAGAGCACAAGAGAAUUAAUAGUGUUCUAGGAGUAAUUUUGACUUACCCAGAAAUAGCAGACUAGGUUUCCUUAAGAAAGUAAAAAUUGACAAUAAACUUGAAAGACAAAAGGAAUGAACCAGAAGAGGGUAAAGGAAUCCUGUUACGGGUGGAACAGAAUGCACAGGCAAAAUAAAACCUAUGGCACAUGAGAAGGACUUCAUGAGAAGUGUGUCUAGAGAGGGAAAAGCAAUGGGAAUGUGGUAUGACAUGAGGCUCAAGGGAUAGAGAAGAGCUAGACUGUGUGGAGUCAUGCAGGUGAGGUUAAUGAGUUUUAUUUUUAAUGUAAGAGUAAUAGGAUGGCACUAAACCUUCUGAAGCAAUAAGAUAAAAUGCUCAGAUUUGGCAAUGGAGAGAUCCUUCUCGUUGCAACUGAGUUGGAGCAGGGCUAAACUAGAUUUAAGUAAACCAAUAUGAGGGGCCACUGGAGUAGGUCAAGUGAGUAGCUCGGACCAGAAAACAUGUUGACGGUGAAAUCCAUAGGACUGGAUAUGAGCAGUAUUGACUGAAAAAGGGACAUGGAAAGGGGACCAGUUUUUUGUAGGGAAGAGUUGGGCCAUGUUAAAUAUGUACAUAGGCAGCUGGGAAAGGGGUCUGGAGUUCAGAGAAGUGGUCUGGACUGGAGUUAUCAACAUGGGUGGUAUUAAUGUGAUUAAGAUCAUUUCUAGCAGCUCUAUAUAAAGAGAUCUAAGGAUUAAAAUAAACAUAUGCCCAUAUUAGAGACACAGUAAAUAAUGACACCUAAUUUUUUAAACUGUCAUUUGCCAAAUAUACAAUUUUAAAUCCUAAAGUGAUUUUUAACUUAUCGAAACCUGAAUCAUUAUUUAAAGUAAAUCAUCACAUGGAUUAAAAGUUCUCUUCCUAUAUUUUUGACCUUUUCAAAUUGGACUAAGUCUUGAAUUAGGUUGCCACAAAUCAAUUUAUUCUACACAUACUUGGUAGUGCAAGGAUGGAUAAGAGGCUCCAACCAGUUCCCAGGGGCUGCAGCUAGAGAUUCUACAAGUAAAAGUGUAACCACAGAGUACAGGAAGCACUAGACUGCAUGUGUUAAGGAACCUAUAGUUAUAUAUAGUAGGGAUGAUAUCGUGUGAUAUUUUAAUGGAAUUUGGCAGUGGGAAUCAGGGAAGACUUGUAGAGGAAGUAAUAUUUAAGCAGAGUCUUGAAGAUUGAAUAGAAGGAAGCCAAGCAUAGAGUGGCAAGGAAGGAUUCCAAAAGCAUAGAAGAGUGCAUUCAAAGGCCCAGAGUCAAGACCAUGAUGCUUUCUCAGAAAUAAAAGCACUUCCAUAUGACUGGAAUGAGUGAAAUGCUUCAUUUCAAAAAGUGGAUGAAUUUUAAAUCAUAAAUCUUCAAAUGAAACCUUUUUUUGCCCCUCUUAAAUAGUUGGCAAGGAGUUGGAAAGGAGGUGUCAAAUGUACAUAAAAACACCUUGAUAAUGAUGCAACAUUCCUGAAAGGUUUGGCCAUUGACAAAGGGAAAAACAUUUUCUGAAUGAAAUUGCUUUGAAUCUUCAUGUAGGAUAUAAUAGCACAUUCUAUAUAAUUUGGCAUAUCAAAAAUCUCCUCUACUCCCUUGAAAAUUGCCUUUUUUCUUUUGAGCUGCAACUCUGUUAAAGUUUGCUGAUUACCACUUUUAAAUAAAGAACUUCCUCCUCAGAGUGAGGCUUUAAAGUCUUUCUGGUGAUGAGUACCAGCACACGAUAGAACAUUUUAAUGUAAUAUUAACCAACUUCAUGUGUAAAGUCCUGCACUCAUUCUAAUUCAGCAGCAUGGUCCAGAAACAAUACCAGCCCACUAUCUGAUGAAAAUAGUGAUUGGUGAUGAAACCUUAGUCUGGAAGAUAUCCAAUGAUCUGAAGUGCAAAUACUACUUAAAAACGGUUGUGCUGAAAUUAAUUCUUUCUUAUGUAUUGAUCAGGUAUAUCUGAAGCCAGAUUUCCCAAUACAUUACUUUUCUUUUCUUCCCAUCAAGGAUUAGGCAUUUCUCUGUCAGCUGUAAACUUCUCCAACCUAAGGUUAUUAGCACUGGUAAUUAAAUAACUCUGUUAUGUGUGAGAAGCAUUAAGAUAAAUACUCUUAAAGGAAAAAAAAAAACAGAAAAAACAUACAUACGUGUGUGUGUGUGUGUGUGUGUGUGUGUGUGUGUGUGUGUCUGUGUAGGCUAGUUCCACUGCUGAUUUUCCCUUUCCUUAAAAUUAAAUGAAUUCUUCAUUUGCUAUUAUAAACUAAAUAUUUCCUUUGAGUCCAAUUAGCAUGGCUGAAAGAAAAAGCAAAUCAAGACUCUGUUCAUCAUGCAUCAAUGUAAUGGAAAAUCAGGUCUUUUAUUCUAGCUUUAAUAACUGCAGCUUGAUUAGAGGCAAAGAAAAGCCUAUGAAGGGAGAAGGGGGGAAAUGAGAAGGACUGCCAAAUUAGUUCUAUAAGAAUUCUCAACCUGUCUGCUCUCUGGCUCACUAUUCAAAUGCUAAUUGAGCCUUUUGGUAAACAGAAUGGGUAAUCAUGGAAGACAAAAACAGACACAGAAAACAAAUGGCAUAUCAUACCUUAUCCAAAACAGCAUGGCAUUUUUCUGAUAAGCUUUGGAAGACUUAAAAUUUUAAGUCCUGGGGUCUUAUUUUUUUUUCUGGAAAGAUUAUAAUUAAUAUAAUAAAAUAAAUAUUACAUAAUCAAAUAAAAAAUGACAAAGAACCACUUUGUUU
ensembl:lncRNA